AUCCCUUACUUACCGCUACGCCAAGAGGAACUAUUCCCUGGGUAACUCACAUUGCGAUGGAUUUUGCAGAUUUCUAAAAUUCACAAUGUAAAGAAAAUCUCGGCCUCAUAAAGAACAUGUCUCCCAGUGGCUGCCUUCUCCCAUCAAACCCUCCCCAAACCGGGAGACACUCACCUACGCCCAAGCCCAGAGAACUGUGGAGCUGGAGGUCGACGACCGGCUACACCAGAUCAGCAUCAUCACAGAUGACGAUCCCACCGCACCAGUAAUAAGGAAAACACAGAAAAACACCACCAUGUUUUGGUAUGUUCCGCCCACCUCAAAACAACCAGCAGAAAAGAAUGCGGCUGUCACCACACAAAAACCUCCAUUGCAAAACAGCACCCUCCCUGAGCCCAAAUUCCGCACAGUAGAGUACAACCUCCAAGCGGUCCCAUGCAGACCUCCAACGUACUACCAGAAUGAGCUGGAUGAGGAAGUGGAGCAUGAUAUAGAUGAAGAAGACUAUGCCUGGCUUGAGCUGGUCAACAAGAAAAUAAAUGGCGAAGGUCUCAGCAAGGUCUCCCCAAUGUUUUCGAGUUCCUCAUCAGUAGUUUAGAAAAAGAAUCAUUCUUAGAGAUUCAGGGCCAAGAAAACCUCCAGACGCAGUCUGCUGUAUAUGCAUGGAUGGCGAGUGUCAGGACAGCAACGGCAUCCUCUUCUGCGACAUGUGCAACCUGGCUGUUCACCAGGUUGCACAGCCUACAGCCUACUGUGGGGCCCACACCCCAAACGGCUCCAUUAAGGGACUACUCACAAUAUACAGUGUCACCAAGACCAAAAACGGAGUUUGUCAAACCACUGACAAAAAGAACAACAGGACGAGAUCGAAGAAGCAUAAUAGAAGGAAAAACAAUGAGACAGAAGUUGUAUCCCCAGUUCCGUUCGUGUCUAUGCCCAGUUUUUCACUUGAGAGUGAGCACGGGGAGAGCGGCAUAAAUAGAGCGACACAACACUUAGUCGAGAGAGAGACUGGAUACGACAGAGCCGAGCCAGAGCAAGGAUUUUCUCAUAGUGAAAGUUUAUUUGUGGAAGCAGUG